rnacentral:lncRNA from 1 species
GAAUGGAGGAAUUGUACUAUAGAGGACAUUGUACAGGAAGGAAUUGUACAAUAUAGGACAUUUGACAGUGAAUGGAGGAAUUGUACUAUAGAGGACAUUGUACAAUGGAUGAAGGAAUUGUACAAUAUAGGACAUUUGACAGUGAAUGGAGGAAUUGUACUAUAGAGGACAUUGUACAAUGGAUGAAGGAAUUGUACAACAUAGGACAUUUGACAGUGAAUGGAGGAAUUGUACUAUAGAGGACAUUGUACAGUGAAUGAAGGAGUUGUACAAUAUAAGACAUAGUAAAGUGAAAGAUGGAAUUGUACUAUAGAGGACACUGAACAAUGAAUGAAGGAAUUGUACAAUAUAGGACACUGAACAGUGAAUGAAGGAAUUGUACAAGGUAGGAUAUUGUACAAAUAGUGAAGGAACUUUGUCAUUUAUCAAAAACAUAACCAAUGUGAUAUAUGAAUGGUGCUUAUCAUGGCCAAAUAAGAAAUACUGAGCAUCUUUGGUAGCACAAUAUAUAAAUUGGAAUAUAUUUUAUUCAGUGACUAAGGGAUGCAAAUAUACUGGUUGGUGAUAUAGUAAUCUUCUUAAAGGUACACUAUUCAACUGGUUGUCUCAGUGAGCUAAGGUUAGUACCCCAGCUUUAGUGUGAAACUGUAAGUACAUUUUACAGACAAGCCCCAUCUUAUCAUCCUGGGGAUCAAUACUUGAUAUGGUAACCGUUAGUGGUGCUCCGAUAAAUUGAAAUAAUCAAAGAUUGGUCGCAGUGACUAAACGACCAAGCAAUCGAACAGAAACAAUUUUGGAACGCUUGUUUGUAUCAACAUUAUUUUUCACAAGGGUGGUUUCGUCUGUGUCAUUAAAUUUACAUUUUAUAAGCACUACAAGAUCAUUUCAAUUUAUGUUCCUAACAUACUAGUCAUCCUUUAAGUAUGUGAAAUUUGCAAAUGCAUUUUAUGCAAUUUGAAAAAAAAAACCAAAAAACAAACUACAUGUUUUUUCUUUAUUUUUGUGUGCAUUUACAAAGAUAACAGGAACAUUUGAUACAUGACGUUAACCAAUUAUUUUCGAUGAUUGAUCGGUUGUAAUGGACCAAUCAUCAAUUAUGAGAUUUUAACCAAUUCCCAACACUAGUAACCAUCUGACCUUGCCAUUGGAAACCAAACAUACCAUGUCUUGCAUGUUAUGUGAACAACAUUCUAUAUUUAUGCAUCUACUUGAUUAUCAAAUUCGAAUUUGACAUGUAAGGGUAAGUUUUAACUUAAUUUUAACUCCCAGACUACUGGGCAUUCCAUAUCUCCAGUUUGACACAUUCAGAAUACUUCUACAAAAUGUAAGUGUGUGCUGGCAUCGGACUGCAGGUUCGACACAAUAGGUGGUUUAAUACAUCAGAGAAACAGUGGAGAGUCUGUAUAUGUUCAAUAUUUCUCAUUUGGCCUAAUAGAUCUAGUUGUGCUGCACAUAGACAAUGUAGUGUUCGUAAAACCAAAUGAUGUAUGUACAGACUUACAUAUCUAUAUAAUCCAUUCUACAUCUCACAAUUCUGCACCAAAUAUACAAUAGUCCUCAAUCCAUCCGGAUUAGGUUCAUCUUUCAUAAAUUAAAUUUAAUUUGCAAAAAUU